rnacentral:misc_RNA from 1 species
UGGGCGGCCGUCUCCUUGCCG